rnacentral:rRNA from 1 species
AACUAAUUCCAACACUAUCUAAGAACCCUUAAACAAUAUUGAGCAAUUCUAUACUACUAUAGAAGAUUUUAUGUUAAAACUAGUAACAAGAAGAAGAACUUCUCAUACAAUGCAAGUGUAAAUCAGAUAGGACACCCCACUGAUAAUUAACACCUAUGAAUAAAAAUAGCAACCUAACAAGAAAACCCUACUAACCCAUGUGUUAAACUAACACCAGAGCAUUACGAGAAAGAUUAAAAGAAAGAGAAGGAACUCGGCAAAUAUUAACCUCGCCUGUUUACCAAAAACAUCGCCUCCUGAAUAAAUAUAAGAGGUCCAGCCUGCCCAGUGACUUUGUUCAACGGCCGCGGUAUCCUAACCGUGCGAAGGUAGCGUAAUCACUUGUUCUUUAAAUGAGGACUAGUAUGAAUGGCACCACGAAGGUUAUACUGUCUCCUCUUUUUAAUCAGUGAAACUAAUCUCCCCGUGAAGAAGCGGGAAUAAACAUAUAAGACGAGAAGACCCUAUGGAGCUUUAAACUAUGUAACACUUGCACCACCACAACACAAAUUUCAGAAAAAUCUCUCCAACGCAUGCAAGCUUAUUACCAGUUUUAGGUUGGGGUGACCGCGGAGCAAAAAACAACCUCCACAUUGAAAGGAAAUUACUCCUUAGCCAAGAGCCACACCUCCCCGCACCAUUACAAUGACAUUAAUUGACCCAAUAUUUUGAUCAACGAACCAAGUUACCCUAGGGAUAACAGCGCAAUCCAUUUCAAGAGCUCCUAUCGACAAAUGGGUUUACGACCUCGAUGUUGGAUCAGGGUAUCCCGGUGGUGCAGCCGCUACCAAAGGUUCGUU